ACAACAUAAGGACCGUCGGUCUACGAGCAAUAUCACCCGCUCGGUGGAAGAUCUUCCUUUCGUCGU
rnacentral:pre_miRNA from 1 species